AUUGAACGCUGGCGGAAUGCUUUACACAUGCAAGUCGAGCGGCAGCGCGGGGCAACCUGGCGGCGAGCGGCGAACGGGUGAGUAAUACAUCGGAACGUACCCAGUUGUGGGGGAUAGCCCGGCGAAAGCCGGAUUAAUACCGCAUACGACCUGAGGGUGAAAGGGGGGGAUCGCAAGACCUCUCGCAGUUGGAGCGGCCGAUGGCGGAUUAGCUAGUUGGUGGGGUAAAGGCCUACCAAGGCGACGAUCCGUAGCGGGUCUGAGAGGACGACCCGCCACACUGGAACUGAGACACGGUCCAGACUCCUACGGGAGGCAGCAGUGGGGAAUUUUGGACAAUGGGGGAAACCCUGAUCCAGCCAUUCCGCGUGAGUGAAGAAGGCCUUCGGGUUGUAAAGCUCUUUCGGCAGGAACGAAACGGUGGCCCCUAAUACGGGUUGCUAAUGACGGUACCUGAAGAAGAAGCACCGGCUAACUACGUGCCAGCCGCCGCAGUAA
rnacentral:rRNA from 1 species